CAGUCGCCGCGGGAAUACGUAGGGUGCAAGCGCUAAUCGGAAUUACUGGGCGUAAAGCGUGCGCAGGCGGUUAUAUAAGUCAGAUGUGAAAUCCCCGGGCUCAACCUGGGAACUGCAUUUGAGACUGUAUGGCUAGAGUGUGUCAGAGGGGGGUAGAAUUCCACGUGUAGCAGUGAAAUGCGUAGAUAUGUGGAGGAAUACCGAUGGCGAAGGCAGCCCCCUGGGAUAACACUGACGCUCAUGCACGAAAGCGUGGGGAGCAAACAGGAUUAGAUACCCCAGUAGUCCCUGUCUCUUAUAC
rnacentral:rRNA from 1 species